rnacentral:rRNA from 1 species
GAUCACUAUGGCCCAAACCCUGAUCUAGAAGACGCCUUUGAAGGUCUGAAUUUACAUGGAGAGGAGGAAGAGGAUCUGGAUCUUUCGGGAGAGGUGGAGGAAUUGAUCAGUGAGGUUCGUUGGCUUGCCCUUUUUAGGGUUCAUACUCUGCGUCCGUUCAGCCACGCGGCGCUGUUGAAUUCUAUGAGGAACGCGUGGACAUGUGCGCAAGGUGUAACCUUCAAUAUUAAAGGGCCAAAUUUGUUCCUUGCCCGAUGUCACUGUUUGGGAGAUUGGAAGAGGGUGAUGGAGGGAGGACCGUGGCAGUUUCAUCGCGAUCCAGUGGUGCUAGUGGAGUAUGAUGGCUUCACCAAUGUGGCGGACUAUGCUCUUAAUAUGUAUCCGUUGUGGGCGAGAAUUAAAGGCUUGCCAGAUGGUCUCACGAGGAAGAAGGAACUAGCAGAGAAGGUCGCGAAGAAGGUCGGUGAUCCACCAUUUACAGUGGUGGUUAAUGAAGGGAGGAUUAACCCCUCAAACUUUCUAAGAGUGAGGGUUUUCGUAAAUGUAAACCAGCCACUGGUGAGGUUUGUGCCGAUCACAUUGAAAGAGAGGAAAAAGUACCCAGUAAGGUGUGAGAAACUGCCGAAUUUCUGUUAUUACUGUGGCUGCAUGGGCCAUGUUGUGGAGGAGUGUGGAGAUGGGGUACAUGACCCGGAUGUCUGUGAGUGGGGGGAUUGGUUACAUUGGAGUAAUGACUCUGAGGGUGCAAGUGAUGCUAAAGGAGGCAGGGGUGGUUCGUGGUCGAAUGCAGCUGGGAGAGGAGGAGGAAAUACUGGUGCUGGUUGA